UGUCAAUGGAUGUCUCCUCAUUUGCGGAUAAAUCUUUCGCCUUUUACUAAAGAUUUCCAUGGGGGAGGCACAAUACAAUGAGUCUUAACUCAUUUUUUCCAACUCCGUCCUUGCACGGAGU
rfam:Schistosoma haematobium scaffold100_8, whole genome shotgun sequence.